rnacentral:rRNA from 1 species
AACGAACGCUGGCGGCAUGCCUAACACAUGCAAGUCGAACGAGACCUUCGGGUCUAGUGGCGCACGGGUGCGUAACGCGUGGGAACCUGCCCUUAGGUUCGGAAUAACUCCCCGAAAGGGGUGCUAAUACCGGAUAAUGUCUUCGGACCAAAGAUUUAUCGCCUUUGGAUGGGCCCGCGUUGGAUUAGCUAGUUGGUAGGGUAAAAGCCUACCAAGGCGACGACCCAUAGCUGGUCUGAGAGGAUGAUCAGCCACACUGGGACUGAGACACGGCCCAGACUCCUACGGGAGGCAGCAGUGGGGAAUAUUGGACAAUGGGCGAAAGCCUGAUCCAGCAAUGCCGCGUGAGUGAUGAAGGCCUUAGGGUUGUAAAGCUCUUUUAACCGGGAUGAUAAUGACAGUACCGGGAGAAUAAGCUCCGGCUAACUCCGUG